rfam:Pseudomonas putida CSV86 contig00101, whole genome shotgun sequence.
UUCUUGUGAUCGUGAGCUGCUGACGUUGUCAGUAACCCAAGCCCGAGCAGUCAUGAUCUGGAAGACUGCUACACCCACUGCGGUGUUGAUCUCCCCAAAAUCGCCAAGCUUCCGGAAGCGCGAUUGAUCAAUCUCUCGAUUGAUGGAAGC